AUCCAGCUAGCUCAGUCAGUAGAGCAUGAGAUUUUUAAUCUCAGGGUCGUGGGUUCCAUCCCCACACUGGGUG